rnacentral:rRNA from 1 species
UACGAAGGGGGGCUAGCGUUGUUCGGAAUUACUGGGCGUAAAGCGCACGUAGGCGGCUUUGUAAGUUAGAGGUGAAAGCCCGGGGCUCAACUCCGGAAUUGCCUUUAAGACUGCAUCGCUUGAACGUCGGAGAGGUGAGUGGAAUUCCGAGUGUAGAGGUGAAAUUCGUAGAUAUUGGGGAAGAACACCGGUGGCGAAGGCGGCGACCUGGUCCGAUACUGACGCUGAGGCGCGAAAGCGUGGGGGAGCAAACAGG